rnacentral:rRNA from 1 species
UACAGAGGGUGCAAGCGUUGUUCGGAAUUAUUGGGCGUAAAGCGCGCGCAGGCGGUCAGAGGCGUCGGUGCUCAAAGUCCACCGCCUUAACGGUGGGAGGCGUGCCGAUACGCUCUGACUGGAGGCGGGCGAGGGUGGUGGAAUUGCCGGUGUAGUGGUGAAAUGCGUAGAGAUCGGCAGGAACACCAGUGGCGAAGGCGGCCACCUAGCCCGCACCUCGACGCCUGAGGCGCGACAGCGUGGGGAGC